AGUGGCGGACGGGUGAGUAACGCGUGGGUAACCUGCCUCAUACAGGGGGAUAACAGUUAGAAAUAGACUGCUAACACCGCAUAAUAUAGCGAAACCGCAUGAUUUUUGCUAAUCAAAUAUUUAUAGGUAUGAGAUGGGCCCGCGUCUGAUUUAGGCUAGUUGGUGGGGUAAAAGCCUACCAAGGCGACGAUCAGUAGCCGGCUUGAGAGAGUGACCGGCCACAUUGGGACUGAGACACGGCCCAAACUCCUACGGGAGGCAGCAGUGGGGAAUAUUGGACAAUGGGGGAAACCCUGAUCCAGCGAACCGCCGCGUGAGUGAAGAAGUAUUUCGGUAUGUAAAGCUCUAUCAGCAGGGAAGAUAAUGACAGUACCUGACUAAGAAGCCCCGGCUAACUACGUGCCAGCCGCUGC
rnacentral:rRNA from 1 species